CGUAGAACAAUGGCACGACGAACCUUUGAUAAUCUUUUACUCGAAGACGAGAAUUUCUGUUCAGACGCACUUUGUUCCAGUUCGUUGUAGGUCGAUUUGUGAUUCCGAACUCAGGAAUGGUGUUGAUACCAUCUUCGUUGCGUUGUAUGUUUCUCUAAAUUUUUCUUCCGUUUCUCGGAGGAUGACGAAGAAGGAGAACAAUCUGGUUUUACUGUCGUCGGAUGAAGAAUACUGUGGUGGUCGAUCAUCCAGUUCGAAACGCAGUAAUCGAAAGACGAGAUCGCAAUCACCAUUUCAUCGGAAGAGCAAUCGGCAAGUAAAGACGUCUCGAAUCUUAGGUCAUAGUCACGUUCAGCUUCUCGCUUGAUGUGCAUCAGGUUCUGGAGGUUUUUAUAGAAACGAAUUAUCGAUUGAUAACCACAUUCAUUGGAGGAGCUUUCUGCAAACAAGAAAAAGGUCAUGCGUAAUUUGUAAUGGUUAAGAAUGUUCUGAAUCGAUGCUAUGCAUAUACUGUUAGGCUAUUUAUUUUGUUUUUUUUAAAUGUUUUGCAGUACAAGAUGGUAAAACAAAGAUCUAUCGCUUAUUGUGGACUUAGCUUAGUUGAUUUUUCAGUAGUGUCCACAGACUACCUACCCGCAUUGAAGUGGCUGGGUAGUAGGGCACCGGGCGUCACGAAAAUUUUAGGGUAUUGAGAGUGUCAUAUUUCAGAUGAAAUUGAAGAUUGGUAAAUUAGAUAGGCACACAGUUAUUAAGCAAUCCCAAGACGAAAUCCUUUUGCCUAUUCAUUUAAGACGGUGUCUGAACUCUCGGGAAUCAGCUUCCGGCAGAUGUUUCUCAGAGGUGUUGUCAUUGAAACUUUCGAGUUCUGACUUCUGAGUAGCCUUUACUGUGAAAGAAGAAAGCUCAACGAGAGUAAAGCGUGCUCAACUUCAAGCGGUUAGUGUAAUAUGCUAUGGUCUCAACGCCCUUACGGAGGUUGCAAUUCCUCUUUCAAUUUAAGGAAGGGAGAACGAGGAGAAGGAGUUCAGGGGAAGGCGUUCCAUCCAAGAAAUAAGGAGAGAGAGAGCUACAAAGAAACUCUUCUGACUGAGAAGCCAUGCAGACGCAGUUGACUCUUCCACAUAUCUCAAGGAGAUGGAGAAGGCCCCUCGAGACCUUGGCGCUCUAAUUUCCUAGGAGAAAUGCGCUCCUUUUAUGCUUCAUUUAGCAGGGACUUGUUGGGCAGGCGGCAUGAUGCUGGUACUUAUGAUGCUAAAACGAAAACAAGGAACUGCAAACAAGGAACUGAAAAUUGCAGUUGAUUUCUGAGAAGAACCUGUGAAGGCUGGACAUCCAAAAAUCACAUAUGCAGCAGACCUGUACCAGGUUUCUGGGGUUGUUGCAGUGGAGGUGGCUGGCGGGCAUCCAUUGAUUUUGUCCCCCGGAAAGAACAUCUCCUCCCUUGCUUUGUAGAUAAGAGAAUUGGUCAUAUAAGAUC